rnacentral:rRNA from 1 species
UAGUAAUCGUAGGUCAGCAUACUACGGUGAAUACGUUCCCGGGCCUUGUACACACCGCCCGUCAAACCAUGAGAGUUGGCAACACCCGAAGUCGGUAGUCUAACCGCAAGGAGGACGCCGCCGAAGGUGGGGUCGAUGAUUAGGGUUAAGUCGUAACAAGGUAGC